rnacentral:rRNA from 1 species
GACGAACGCUGGCGGCGUGCCUAAUACAUGCAAGUAGAACGCACAGUUUAUACCGUAGCUUGCUACACCAUAGACUGUGAGUUGCGAACGGGUGAGUAACGCGUAGGUAACCUGCCUGGUAGCGGGGGAUAACUAUUGGAAACGAUAGCUAAUACCGCAUAAUAUUGAUUAUUGCAUGAUAAUUGAUUGAAAGAUGCUAUUGCAUCACUACCAGAUGGACCUGCGUUGUAUUAGCUAGUAGGUGAGGUAACGGCUCACCUAGGCGACGAUACAUAGCCGACCUGGGAGGGUGAUCGGCCACACUGGGACUGAGACACGGCCCAGACUCCUACGGGAGGCAGCAGUAGGGAAUCUUCGGCAAUGGACGAAAGUCUGACCGAGCAACGCCGCGUGAGUGAAGAAGGGUUUCGGAUCGUAAAGCUCUGUUGUAAGAGAAGAACGGGUGUGAGAGUGGAAAGUUCACACUGUGACGGUAUCUUACCAGAAAGGGACGGCUAACUACGUG